rnacentral:ncRNA from 2 species
GCUUUAUCCAGAGUGUGGCGAGAGACUGGCUCAACGACCCACCGGCAACCCUCAGCAGUGAGAAGGUGCCUCCAGCCCCGACAGGGGAAAGAUAACGU